CAGCAGCCGCGGUAAUACGAAGGGGGCUAGCGCUGUUCGGAUUUACUGGGCGUAAAGCGCACGUAGGCGGAUCGAUCAGUCAGGGGUGAAAUCCCGGAGCUCAACUCCGGAAUUGCCUUUAAGACUGCAUCACUUGAACGUCGGAGAGGUGAGUGGAAUUCCGAGUGUAGAGGUGAAAUUCGUAGAUAUUCGGCGGAACACCAGUGGCGAAGGCGACUCACUGGCCCGAUACUGACGCUGAGGCGCGAAAGCGUGGGGAGCAAACAGGAUUAGAUACCCCCGUAGUCCCUGUCUCUUAUAC
rnacentral:rRNA from 1 species